rnacentral:lncRNA from 1 species
UUAACUGGUAUAAGGGUUAACAGACACAUGUUCAAUUCAAUUCAAAUCAACAAACAUUUACAUUACACUAAAUAUAGUUUGGCAAAACUUUGAGAAAUGUUCGGUCCUCAAUGCUCUUCCCUUUCGUAUUUUGAUUGAAGUUUUCUUCUUUGAUUCGAGCAUCUGGCGUACAGAAUGAAUUUUGGUAUCUAUGAGGAUAUAUUUAGAACCACUGGUUCGAUGGCUCUUCUCACCAGCAAAGUAGUCGGCACUUUUCUUCAACAUCGUACUUUAUUUGGCCUUUCGUAAAUAAUUAUAAAAAUUUAGCAGCACACAUUUUGAAACUGAAUAACAUCGUUGACCAAAAUGUUCAUCAAUACGAAAAACAUUAUUGAUUAUUGUAUUGAUAGAACUCAAAGAUUACAUACGACAAUUAAAUGUACUUCACUAUAAUGUUCGUUUUCUACUGAAGACGAAUAUUUCAAUACAAUCACCCCGGUCGCUGCGCCAAUAACAGGAUCUUUUACAGCUAACGGUAACAACACGCAUGUUCCUCUUUUAUUUACUUAUAUUUCUUAAAACAUUGAUAAACCAAGUAAGGAUACUUAGUUCUUGGUUCUGAGAAAAAAAAACCCGCUGCAAUUGUUCACCAUGUACAAAAUCUUAAAAAUGAAUGGGAAUGAACAUGUUGAUUUAAUAUCAUUAUUAUUCAAAAUGCAAAUAUGAUAAACCAAAAGUGUUUUUCUUGAGAAAAAGUGUCAAGCAAACUAUGUCAUGUCUCAAGACAUGCAACAUUUCUGUGCGGCUAAGCAUUCAAUUUAUGUUUUUUAUAUUUUGUACUAGUUAAUGUAAACACACA